AUGAUAAAGCUUGUCUGCAUUUUCACAUGGAAUCUUACGUAUAAUAAUCUAUUUAUUAUUAUAUAUAUUAAACAUAUCUUUGAGAUUGCAGGGUUUGUUGCAAUCGGUUGCGAGUAUGCAUUUGCUACUGCUGCCUCAGCCUCCAUUCACGGUGCCCUUGCUCCUCAAACAACCCCGGUAGCACAUCUCUCUUGCACAUACAGGAACAUGUGGGCCUGCAGAUAUCUUACUCGGAUGUGUUAUGAUGUACUAUUCAAUUCAGGCUGGUACACCACUGCCUCACUUGACAAUAUACGUGGAGAAUAUCCACAAAGCUAUGCAUGGAAGUGA
rnacentral:rRNA from 1 species